GGAAAGAGCUGAGCUUGGAAGAGAAACAGACGAUUUGUUAAAUGGGUAGUGAAAAGAAUCAAAGUAAGCUCGAGACUCGAGCUCUUCCAAGGUCUUGAUUGGAUAAGAGACAGGAGUGGACGGCUCUGAUGGGUCAAACGGAGUAGGAACAACGGCAGAGGAUUGUUGCUGAAGAUCAUUGGAUUGAGACAUGGUAGGAAAGAUGGAGAAAGAUUGGAUUUUUUUUUUGCUGAUUAGCGUGAGGAAGUUGUAUAGAGAGAGCGAGAGAACAAGAUUCGAACGGUUUAUGUAGGCG
rnacentral:misc_RNA from 1 species